UACGGAGGGUGCAAGCGUUGUCCGGAAUCAUUGGGCGUAAAGAGUUCGUAGGCGGCAUGUAAAGUCCGGUGUUAAAUGCAGAAGCUUAACUUCUGUUCGGCACUGGAUACUUGCAAGCUGGAAUGCGGUAGAGGUAAAGGGAAUUCCUGGUGUAGCGGUGAAAUGCGUAGAUAUCAGGAGGAACAUCGGUGGCGUAAGCGCUUUACUGGGCCGUUAUUGACGCUGAGGAACGAAAGCCGGGGUAGCAAAU
rnacentral:rRNA from 1 species